AUUUUUUCAUAUUUUGCUCCACAGUGGUUAUCUCAAAAACUAUAGACCGCAUUUUUGGGAUUAUUAAUGCGUUCCGAGUCAGCUGACGCCGAAAGCGACUAUGACGCCCAAACAUGCGGUCUAGGUAGGCAGCUCACUGGUGUUUGAGACACGGCCACUGUGGCACAGGCAUAUGAACGCGUAAUCCACGCAAUGAUAUUGAGUGAGUGUUUGAGAGACCUUUGAAUUUCUGCAUCUCCGGACGGAAAGGACAGAAUAAACCGCUGUUUUACAGUCUCAGGUUGCAUGCUGGAAGUUUCAUUUGCGCUUUAGUGAAGUGAUAAACAGUGUGAGCGUGAAGAGUGCGCACUACGAGCACAGUGUAACGUCUGACAGGACAGGAGAGUUUGUUUUUCUGAGAUCUGUGUAGCUGGAAGAACAAAGAAGGGAGUUUUAUAAUUUACCUCAGUCAUGC